rnacentral:rRNA from 1 species
GAUGAACGCUGGCGGCGUGCCCAAUACAUGCAAGUCGAGCGAACAGACGAGGAGCUUGCUCCUCUGACGUUAGCGGCGGGCGGGUGAGUAACACGUGGAUAACCUACCUAUAAGACUGGGAUAACUUCGGGAAACCGGAGCUAAUACCGGAUAAUAUAUUGAACCGCAUGGUUCAAUAGUGAAAGACGGUUUUGCUGUCACUUAUAGAUGGAUCCGCGCCGCAUUAGCUAGUUGGUAAGGUAACGGCUUACCAAGGCAACGAUGCGUAGCCGACCUGAGAGGGUGAUCGGCCACACUGGAACUGAGACACGGUCCAGACUCCUACGGGAGGCAGCAGUAGGGAAUCUUCCGCAAUGGGCGAAAGCCUGACGGAGCAACGCCGCGUGAGUGAUGAAGGUCUUCGGAUCGUAAAACUCUGUUAUUAGGGAAGAACAAAUGUGUAAGUAACUAUGCACGUCUUGACGGUACCUAAUCAGAAAGCCACGGCUAACUACGUG